UCCCUGGGACUGAGGAGGCAGAAUGGAGGGGCCUGUGCCCUAACUCCUCUCUGUUCUCCAGAGCGCAGAUGUUCUGUGUUUUACGGGGCACCAAGUAAGAGCAGACUCUUGGCCACCUUGUGUUCUGCUGAAGUCUGCCAGUGUGCUGAGGGGAAGUGCCCUCGCCAGCGUCGCGCCCUGGAGCGGGGUCUGCAGGACGAGGAUGGCUACAGGAUGAAGUUUGCCUGCUACUACCCCCGUGUGGAGUACGGUCAGUCUUCCCACCGAGGCCCUGGCCUGACCCUCCCUCGGGGACCGGCCGUUUUGGUCUCUCUGGGUGUAGCCUGCUCCUCUUACAGGUCAUGCACGCAGCCUGUUUGCUCUGACACCAACUUCCUACCCUCUCAGCCUCAAAGUAACUCACCUUUCCCCCUUCUCCUCACCCCCUCUUAGGCUUCCAGGUUAAGGUUCUCCGAGAAGACAGCAGAGCUGCUUUCCGCCUCUUUGAGACCAAGAUCACCCAAGUCCUGCACUUCAGUAUGAAG
rnacentral:misc_RNA from 1 species